rnacentral:rRNA from 1 species
CGUAAGGCGCCGAAUGAGUCAUUAAAAAAUUAACAUCAUCCGAUCCCUAGUCGGCAUAGUUUAUGGUUAAGACUACGACGGUAUCUGAUCGUCUUCGAUCCCCUAACUUUCGUUCUUGAUUAAUGAAAACAUCCUUGGCAAAUGCUUUCGCAGUAGUUAGUCUUCAAUAAAUCCAAGAAUUUCACCUCUGACAAUUGAAUACUAAUGCCCCCAACUAUCCCUAUUAAUCAUUACGUCAAUCCUAGAAACCAACAAAAUAAGAUCGAACGUCCUAUUUCAUUAUUCCAUGCUAAUGUAUUCAAGCGUUAGCCUGCUUUAAACACUCUAAUUUUUUCAAAGUAACAGUCCAAAUUCCCCGCAACACCAAAUUAAUGGCAUUACGGUUCAUAAGGAAGGAGGAAUCAGUGAGAUCAGUACAUACCAGAGGCAUGACCAACCUACUAACCCCGAAAUUCAACUACGAGCUUUUUAACUGCAACAACUUUAAUAUACGCUAUUGGAGCUGGAAUUACCGCGGCUGCUGGCACCAGACUUGCCCUCCAAUUGUUCCUCGUUAAGAGAUUUAAAUUGUACUCAUUCCAAUUACGAGAUCCUAAAGAACCCCGUAUUGUUAUUUAUUGUCACUACCUCCCCGUGUCGGGAUUGGGUAAUUUACGCGCCUGCUGCCAUCCUUGGAUGUGGUAGCCGUUUCUCAGGCUCCCUCUCCGGUGUCGUGCCCUAACACCCCGUUACCCGUUACCACCAUGGUAGGCCUCUAUCCUACCAUCGAAAGUUGAU